rnacentral:lncRNA from 1 species
AAGCCUUCUUAAGAAAUAUAGCAUUUAUUUCAAGAUAUCUAAAAAAUAUAUAUUUAUUUUGUUGUCGAACGAUCUGGAGGCAUGCUGCUUUAAACUUUUCAGGGUUAUAAAAAUAUAUCAUGCCAGCAAGCUAAAAAUGACUGCUUCAUCUAAAAUAAUAGAACUUAUUUUAGAAUUAAAAUAAUUUUAUUUAUUUUGGGAGAAAUACGGUACUGAGUCGGUGCGGUUGCUUAGCAACAGGGAUUACUCGGUGUUUGUCGUUAUAUAAAAAUUAUAGAAUAUUACUGAUUCCCCAUUACACGUCGGUAUACAGUUGUAGCUAAGUAAUUUCAAAAACAACUAAAUACAUCCAAUGAAAAGACGUUUUGGUAUAAAUAAUCUAAUCAUUGUUACCAUGAACAAUUUAUCUUCUAAAGACAGCAUAAAAGCACGAAAUUACCGUGAUAUCUUCCUUGAUUACACUGUCAACAAACUGCGUCAAAUUUAGCAACCCACCCACCACACCCUUAGUUUUUCUACUUUUAAUUUUAAGCCAUUUUGUGAGGCGGAAGAAAACAAUUUCUCUCUAAACAGUGAUAUAAAGUAUGAAACCUUAUAUGCAAUGAAUGUUUAUGUCGAUGUUGAUUUGACAACACUCUGCUGCUUUAGUUCUUUAUUUCCAGAAGUGUGAUCUAUAUACAAAUAAUUGCAAGCUGUCAGAAUGAUACGUGGAGCACAUUGGUGGCCAUCAAAACUCACGAGCCAGUAGAUAUACGGACAGAAACCAUUCUUUACUCGGAUGUUACAUGUACAACGGAGACACAUAGUGCCCUCUAUCUUCUCAGAGACGAAGGGUUUCGUGGAUCAAGGCCAGAUGUUCCCAAUAUAGCCGUGGUUGUUACAGAUGGGAAGUCAUUCUACACCAACCUCACAGCAUCUGUUUCACGAAAACUGCAGGGUCAAGGGGUUGUUAUGUUUGGAGUUGGAAUUGGCAGUAAUGUCAACCUGAAUGAGUUCUAUAGCAUCCAGUCCAGUCAGUCAACAUGUAAAUACUGUGACAAAUUUUGCUUCCCUUUCCAAUAUUGUGAACUCUUUAUCUUCAAAAACUUGUGAAGUGGCUUCAGUUACUGUUGCGAAAAAUAUAACUUCUGUUCCUGUGUCAACCCUACG